AAACUUACAGUGCACAGGAGCACCGUGAUCAAGAAGGCGGGGCUCCCAAGGCGAGGUGGCACAUUGCACUCUGGGCCACUGAACCUUGCGUUCGCUCCAGGCCGAGCGAGUCGGGUGCAGAAUUUUUGUUUGUCACCGGGUUGACUCGCGCUAUCGCUGG